CGGAAUGUGGCGUUGCGUAUUUUUUUUGAAGUGAAAAUUCAUUAUAGUGAAAUAAAUAUAUGAACAAUUUUUAAUGGUUAAGGAGGCAACGUAUUGUCUUUGCAUCCCAAAGAAAUUAACAGAGACAGUUCUUUUACAAUUAUUUAUUAUUUGAUUCCUAUGAAUCAAACAGAGAUACAGCCUCUCUGUACAAAUCCAUCCAACGGAUAGAAGAAUAAAAUGAAAAGAAAGGAAAAAUGGAAGAGAAUGGAUGACAAAAAGAGACAAUUGAAAGAAGUAAACGAGGAAGUAAGAAUAGUAUAAUGUCACAGGCUUAUGUGGUUAAUAUAAGGUAAUAUAGAAUGGUAAAAAUACAAAAAUAAAUAGUGUUCUGGAAAUGCUUGAAAAAUACAUUGAGCUAGAAAAUUGGAAUAAAAAAUAUAGUUUUUAAAAAUAUAAUCUGUGACUUUCACGAUAUUUUUCAAGAUCAAAUCGAAUACAUAUCCAUGACAUGUCUCUUUCAGUGCCAUG